rnacentral:rRNA from 1 species
GACGAACGCUGGCGGCGUGCUUAACACAUGCAAGUCGAACGGUAAGGCCCUUCGGGGUACACGAGUGGCGAACGGGUGAGUAACACGUGGGUGAUCUGCCCUGCACUUCGGGAUAAGCCUGGGAAACUGGGUCUAAUACCGGAUAGGACCACUGCCUGCAUGGGUGGUGGUGGAAAGCUUUUGCGGUGUGGGAUGGGUCCGCGGCCUAUCAGCUUGUUGGUGGGGUGAUGGCCUACCAAGGCGACGACGGGUAGCCGGCCUGGGAGGGUGACCGGCCACACUGGGACUGAGAUACGGCCCAGGCUCCUACGGGAGGCAGCAGUGGGGAAUAUUGCACAAUGGGCGCAAGCCUGAUGCAGCGACGCCGCGUGAGGGAUGACGGCCUUCGGGUCGUAAACCUCUUUCAGCACCGACGAAGCGCAAGUGACGGUAGGUGCAGAAGAAGGACCGGCCAACUACGUGCCAGCAGCCGCCGUAA